rnacentral:rRNA from 1 species
AACGUAGGACACAAGCGUUAUCCGGAGUUACUGGGCGUAAAGGGCGUGUAGGCGGACCUAUAAGUCUAUUCUGAAAGCUCCUGGCUAAACUGGGAGAGGCGAAUGGAGACUGUAGAUCUAGAGUGAGGAAGAGGAAAGUGGAAAUUCCGCGUGUAGUGGUGAAAUGCGUAGAGAUGCGGAGGAACACCAGUGGCGAAAAGCGACUUUUCUGG